CCUACGGGGGGCAGCAGUGGGGAAUAUUGGGCAAUGGGCGCAACCCUGACCCAGCAACGCCGCGUGAGGGAAGACGGCCCUCGGGUUGUAAACUUCUUUUAUCAGGGACUAAGCAAGUGACGGUACCUGAUGAAUAAGCCACGGCUAACUACGUGCCCGCAGCCGCGGUAAUACGUAGGUGGCACGCGUUAUCCGGAUUUACUGGGUGUAAAGGGCGUGUAGGCGGGAGAGCAAGUCAGAUGUGAAAACUAUGGGCUCAACCUAUAGCCUGCAUUUGAAACUGUACUUCUUGAGUGCUGGAGAGGCAAGCGGAAUUCCGGGGGUAGCGGUGAAAUGCGUAGAUAUACGGAGGAACACCAGUGGCGAAGGCGGAUUGCUGGACAGUAACUGACGCUGAGGCGCGAAAGCGUGGGGAGCAAACAGGAUUAGAUACCCCUGUAGUC
rnacentral:rRNA from 1 species